rnacentral:tRNA from 1 species
GCCUGGGUGGCUUAGUCGGUUGGGUGUCUGACUUCAGCUCAGGUCAUGAUCUCACGGUUCCUGGGGUUCAAGCCCCAAGUCAGGCU